rnacentral:lncRNA from 1 species
AUUACUUUGAAUUUUCUGCACAAUAAAUAAGUUCCAAGUCUAUCUUUCAAUAAAUACGCCCAAUUAAUUUACAAUAAUAUACUUACAGUAUAAAUUACAUAAUAGAGUCUCCAAAAAUGGACUACUGAUACAUGCCAUAAUACUUAAUUACAUAACACACUAAUCAACUACCAAAAUAUCUCUGCAGCUCUGAUGCUACUCUUUUGGUCUUCAAUCAGUAAUAUAGACUCCAACCUACGCGUGAUAAAAUCAACACGCUGAGUAUAAAACUCAGUGGUGCUCAUAAAACACAACAAACUAAUGUUGCGAUGGCAACACACUUAAAAUAUAAAUUUUCAUCAAAAGAUUUACAAUCAUAAAAUCAUUAACGCUUUAAUAUACAUUUACAUUUAUAACAAAAUGAUCAAAUAAAACUAUUAAUAUUUUAUUCGUUCAAAUCAUAAAUUCAUUAUUUGAAAUUGUAGUACACCAAUACAUAUACUGGUUAUUUAGAAAACCAUGUAACGUAAUAUCCUGCUUUGACAAUUCAUUUAAUAACAUAUAAUCAUUUAUUUCCAAGCUACCUGAAAAAUAUGUUUACAAGGGCUCACAUACACUUAGGAGAAAAAGAAGCAGAUAGGUUUUCAGAACAGAUUCAGAAUGGCCUUAGGUCGCCAACAGAUUCAGAACAUAUAGAGCGCGUCCGCCCUAACAGAACAGAAGACCCCCACGUGUCUAGCAUAUGAUCAUAGCUUCUUAUCAGAAUGGCAUCAAAUGCCGAG